CCUACGGGUGGCAGCAGCAGGGAAUCUUGCGCAAUGGGCUAAAGCCUGACGCAGCGACACCGCGUGGGGGAUGAAGGCUUUAGGGUUGUAAACCCCUUUUCUCGGGGAAGAGUGAGGACGGUACCCGAGGAAUAAGCCUCGGCUAACUACGUGCCAGCAGCCGCGGUAACACGUAGGAGGCGAGCGUUGUCCGGAUUUACUGGGCGUAAAGGGCGAGUAGGCGGCCCGCCAAGUCUCAUGUGAAAUCUCCCGGCUCAACUGGGAGGGGUCAUGGGAAACUGGCGAGCUUGAGGUCAGCAGAGGAAAGUGGAAUUCCCGGAGUAGCGGUGAAAUGCGUAGAUACCGGGAGGAACAUCAGAGGCGAAGGCGACUUUCUGGGCUGCACCUGACGCUGAGGCGCGAAAGCAUGGGGAGCAAACCGGAUUAGAUACCCGGG
rnacentral:rRNA from 1 species